rnacentral:tRNA from 1 species
CAAAUUAUAUUAAUAUAUUUUAUUUACAAUAAAAUAUUAGUUGUUAAAUACAACUUAAUUUGA